UACAGAGGGUGCGAGCGUUGUCCGGAAUCACUGGGCGUAAAGGGCGCGUAGGUGGCUUGCCAAGCGUGUGGUGAAAGCCCGGAGCUCAACUCCGGGUCGGCCAUGCGAACUGGCAGGCUAGAGCACGGUAGAGGCCAAUGGAAUUCCGGGUGUAGCGGUGGAAUGCGUAGAGAUCCGGAAGAACACCGGUGGCGAAGGCGACAUCCUGGACCGGUAUUGACGCUGAGGCGCGAAAGCCAGGGGAGCAAACGGG
rnacentral:rRNA from 1 species